GAACGCGUGGAGCAUGUGGCUUAAUUUGACUCAACGCGGGAAAUCUUACCGGGUCCGGACACACUGAGGAUUGACAGGCAAUAUAUGAUUCAGCUUUCGGGUUGUUUCAUUGUUAAAUAUGCUAGUCCUUUCAUGAUUAUGUGAUAGGUGGUGCAUGGCCGUUCUUAGUUCGUGGAGUGAUCUGUCUGCUUAAUUGCGUUUCACUUAAUUUAUAGGAUCUAAUAUUUUUACGAGUGAGUAGGUUUUGACCCACACUGCAUUUUAUUAUGUGGUGGUCCGUGCGUCAUUACAUUUCCAUUGGCCUGCUUCGCUCUAAUUAGCUAUCCUUUGAAAGCAACGAACGUGACCGCAACCUCUUGUUGCCUUCGUUUAACAUCCUACUCUUAGUGGUGGGUAUUGAGGGCUUCACUCAUUGCGUGUAACAGCGUGUGAGUAAACUAGAGGGACCGCUGUCAACUUCUUAAACCAGAGGAAGGUUGCGGCAAUAACAGGUCUGUGAUGCCCUUAGAUGUUCCGGGCUGCACACGUGCUACAAUGAUUGUGGCAGUGAGCAUCUCUAUACGAUAAUUUAUUACAUACACCACGAGUGAGUCAAAUCACGAGUGGUAAAAGCCUGCUUUGAGAGCAAGUGGGUAAUCAAUUAGAAGUAACGAUUUCUUCGCAUUAGCACACUUAUAUACGGCGUUUAUGCCCGGGUUUCACUUGUUGGAGCCUCUGCGUGCGUAGAUGUUGAGCUUGCAUCUGAUGUAAGUCUCAUUUACCGUAUGUGCAAUUGUCAAUUCAUGGUGGGGACAGACCAUUGUUAAUUGUUGGUCUCGGUCUUAACUAGGAAUGCCUUGUACGGGUCUUUGGUUCAACAGACCACCCGGAAUAUGUCCCUGCCCUUUGUACACACCGCCCGUCGCUCUUACCGAUGGACUUCUCUGUGAGUUUGAGGGACUGGAGCUGAGCUUAGGUUUGGUUCUAUGGAAACUUAAACGAACAGUGUGGUCUAAAG
rnacentral:rRNA from 1 species